rnacentral:lncRNA from 1 species
CCAGAACCAUCACCCCGAGAAGUGCCUUAGACUUAGGAGUCGUCCCAUCCCACAUCUCUUCCCAGUCCUCCAACCUCUCCGAUCUUGCAUCUACAAUCCCCACCACCACAAUCACCAAUAAUGCCUCAACCACCAUCCUUGCCACCAUCAAAACCCACUCCACCACCAUCACCUAAACCACAUGCUUCACCACCAUAUUCAACAUCGCAAUCUUCCACACCACCAGCACCCA